AUGUCAGGAGGGCCAGGGCCCUGGCUGGCACCCCUGCUGCGCGUCAUUCGCUUCCUCCAGCUCAACUGGGAGCAGCUCGCCACCGACAUCGAGGCCGGCACGCUCGCCCCGUGCGUGAGCGACGCGUCGGUGCGCGAGGCGGUUGCCGGCAUGCUCCGCCGCCCGGACCCCGAGCUCGCCCAGCUCGUCCGGGAUGAGUGCCGCACGGGCGAAUGGGCCGGCAUCGUCCCGCGCAUCUGGCCCAACGCGAGGUACCUCGAGGCCAUCGUCACCGGCGCCAUGGCGCAGUACGUUCCGGCCUUGGAAUACUACGCCGGCGGCCUGCCGUUGGUGUCCAUCUCCUACGCGUCCUCCGAGUGCUACUUCGGCAUCAAUCUUCAGCCGCUGUGCAACCCGACCGACGUGUCCUACACGGCUACACCAUCAUGCCCAACUAGGCCUACCUCGAGUUCCUCCGCGUGGACGACGCGACCACAGGAGAGGCCGUGGAGGCUGAAGGUGACGCGGCCCGGCUGGUGGACCUCGCCCGCGUGGAGGCUGGGCGGGAGUACUAGCUGGUGA
rnacentral:rRNA from 1 species